AUUGAACGCUGGCAGCAGGCUUAACCCAUGCAAGUCUAGCGGGGGAAGGUAGCUUGCUACCGGACCUAGCGGCGGACGGGUGAGUAAUGCUUAGGAAUCUGCCUAUUAGUGGGGGACGACAUCUCGAGAGGGAGGCUAAUACCGCAUACGUCCUACGGGAGACAGCAGGGGAUCUGCGGACCUUGCGCUAAUAGCUAAGCCUAAGUCGGAUUAGGUAGUUGGUGGGGUAAAGGCCUACCAAGGCGACGAUCUGUAGCGGGUCUGAGAGGAUGAUCCGCCACACUGGGACUGAGACACGGCCCAGACUCCUACGGGAGGCAGCAGUGGGGAAUAUUGGACAAUGGGGGGAACCCUGAUCCAGCCAUGCCGCGUGUGUGAAGAAGGCCUUAUGGUUGUAAAGCACUUUAAGCGAGGAGGAGGCUACUUUAGUUAAUACCUAGAGAUGGUGGACGUUACUCGCAGAAUAAGCACCGGCUAACUCUGUGCCAGCCGCCGCAGUA
rnacentral:rRNA from 1 species